rnacentral:rRNA from 1 species
UACGUAGGGGGCAAGCGUUGUCCGGAAUCAUUGGGCGUAAAGCGCGUGUAGGCGGCUCGAUAAGUCCGUUCUGAAAGUCCAGGGCUCAACCCUGGGAUGCGGAUGGAUACUGUCGAGCUCGAGUCCGGAAGAGGCGAGUGGAAUUCCUGGUGUAGCGGUGGAAUGCGUAGAUAUCAGGAGGAACACCGGUGGCGAAGGCGGCUACCUGGACAGAAACUGACGCUGAGGCACGAAAGCUAGGGGAGCAAACAGG